rnacentral:rRNA from 1 species
UAAAAUAAUUAAGGGCACACAAAGGAUGCCUAGGUAGUAAGAGCCGAUGAAGGACGUGGUAAGCUGCGAUAAGCCUAGAUAAGUUGCAAUCGAACGUAAGAGUCUAGGAUUUCCGAAUGGAGCAAUCUAUUAAGAUGGAGUCUUAAUACGAAAGAGGGAACCGCGUGAACUGAAACAUCUAAGUAACGCGAGGAAAAGAAAGUAAAAACGAUACCCAAAGUAGCGGCGAGCGAAAUGGGUCAAGCCUAAACCUUAAAUAUGUCAAGGAUACAGCCGUUGUAUUUAAGGGGUUGUGGGACAGAGUGAUGAAGAACUGUAAGAUAUUCAAUAUAGUGUAUUGAUGAAUUAGAAUUGUCUGGAAAGGUGAACCGCAGAAGGUGAAAGUCCUGUAUAAGUAAAUCCUUACACAUAUAACUUUGCUCCCAAGUAACAUGGAACACGAGGAAUUCUGUGUGAAUCUGUGAGGACCAUAUCUCAUAAGGCUAAAUACUCUUACUAACCGAUAGCGCAUAGUACCGUGAGGGAAAGGUGAAAAGAACCCCUGGAGGGGAGUGAAAUAGAACCUGAAAUUGUGUGCUUACAAGCGGUCAGAGCCCAUUUGGGUGAUGGCGUGCCUUUUGGAGAAUGAUCCUGCGAGUUACGUUAAACGGCGAGGUUAAGUAUAACGGAGCCGAAGGGAAACCAAGUCUUAAUAGGGCGAUUUAGUCGUUUGGCGUAGACGCGAAACCUGGUGAUCUAAACCUGUCCAGGAUGAAGCUGUGGUAAGACACAGUGGAGGUCCUAACCCACCGCCGUUGAAAAGUUGGGGGAUGAGGUAGGUUUAGGGGUGAAAAGCCAAUCGAACCAGGAGAUAGCUCGUUCUCUCCGAAAUGCAUCUAGGUGCAGCCUUGAGUGUUCAAUUAUGGGGGUAGAGCACUGAAUGAUCUAGGGGGCAUAUUGCUUACUGAAAUCAAUCAAACUCCGAAUACCAUAAUUUAUAGCUCAGGAGUGAGACUAUGGGAGUUAACUUCCAUUGUCAAAAGGGAAACAACCCAGACCACCAGCUAAGGUCCCUAAUUAUAACUAAGUGGGAAAGGAGGUGGAGAUUCACAAACAACUAGGAGGUUGGCUUAGAAGCAGCCAUACCUUUAAAGAGUGCGUAAUAGCUCACUAGUCGAGAGUCUCUGCGCCGACAAUGUAACGGGGCUAAGUUAUAAACCGAAGCUGUGGAAUCCGUAAGGAUUGGUAGGAGAGCGUUCUGUAGGCCGUUGAAGAAGAAGGGUAACCAACUUUGGAGGUAUCAGAAGUGAGAAUGCAGGAAUAAGUAGCGAGAAAGGGGGCGAGAAUCCCCCUCGCCGGAAGACCAAGGUUUUCAGGGUAAAGCUUGUCUUCCCUGAGUAAGCCGGGACCUAAGCCCAGGCUAUAAUGCGUAGGCGAAUGGAAAACAGAUUAAUAUUUCUGUGCCAGUCAUUUAUUGUGAUGGAGGGACGCAGAAGGGUAUGCGCGCGGACGAUCGGUUGUGUCCGUAGAAGUAUGUAGGGUGACUUAGUAGGUAAAUCCAUUAAGUUAUAUCUGAGGUAUGAUAUACAGUCGUAAGAUGAAUGCGCAAAUCCCACGCUGCCAAGAAAAGCUUCUAACGUUAAUAUAUGACUGCCCGUACUGUAAACCGACACAGGUGGUCAGGAUGAGAAAUCUAAGGCGGACAGGCUAACUCUCGUUAAGGAACUCUGCAAAAUAACCUCGUAACUUCGGGAGAAGAGGAGCCCUUGGGUGUUAGUAUCCAUGCGAUACAAAGCGCUCGAGGGUCGCAGUGAAGAGGCUCAAGCAACUGUUUAACAAAAACACAGGUCUAUGCUAAGCUGGAAGGCGAUGUAUAUGGGCUGACACCUGCCCAGUGCUGGAAGGUUAAGAGGAGGAGUGAGAGCUCCGAAUUGAAGCCCCAGUGAACGGCGGCCGUAACUAUAACGGUCCUAAGGUAGCGAAAUUCCUUGUCGGGUAAGUUCCGACCUGCACGAAUGGUGUAACGAU